rnacentral:rRNA from 1 species
AUUGAACGCUGGCGGCAGGCCUAACACAUGCAAGUCGAGCGAGCGGCGGACGGGUGAGUAAUGUAUGGGGACUGCCCGAUAGAGGGGGAUAACUACUGGAAAAGGUGGCUAAUACCGCAUACUAUCGGAUAACCCAUAUGGGAUGAGCUAGUAGGUGGGGUAAAGGCUCACCUAGGCGACGAUCUCUAGCUGGUCUGAGAGGAGGAUCAGCCACACGGGGACUGAUACCCGGCCCAGACUCCUGCGGAGGCAGCCGUGGGGAAUAUUGCACAUUGGGCGCAAGGCUGAUGCAGCCAUGCCGCGUGUAUGAAGAAGGCCUUAGGGUUGUAAAGUACUUUCAGCGUGGAGGCGUUACCCGCAGAAGAAGCCCCGGCUAACUCCGUGCCAGCAGCCGCGGUAAUUC